rnacentral:rRNA from 1 species
GACGAACGCUGGCGGCGUGCUUAACACAUGCAAGUCGAGCGAGGCCUCACCUUCGGGUGAGUGUCCUAGCGGCGAACGGGUGAGUAACACGUGGGCAACCUGCCCCUAGCACUGGGAUAACCCCGGGAAACCGGGGCUAAUACCGGAUACGACCGCGGAAGGCAUCUUCUGCGGUGGAAAGGGUUACUGGCUAGGGAUGGGCCCGCGGCCUAUCAGCUUGUUGGUGGGGUAACGGCCCACCAAGGCGACGACGGGUAGCCGGCCUGAGAGGGCGACCGGCCACACUGGGACUGAGACACGGCCCAGACUCCUACGGGAGGCAGCAGUGGGGAAUAUUGCACAAUGGGCGAAAGCCUGAUGCAGCGACGCCGCGUGAGGGAUGACGGCCUUCGGGUUGUAAACCUCUUUCAGCUCCGACGAAGCGAAAGUGACGGUACCAGCAGAAGAAGCACCGGCCAACUACGUGCCAGCCGCCGCGGUAAUAC